rnacentral:rRNA from 1 species
CAUGCAAGUCGAACGAAUCCCUGGGGGCUUGCUCCCAGGGGGAAGUGGCGAAAGGGGCAGUAAGGCGUGGGUAACCUACCCCGGGGACGGGGAUAGCCGCCCUAACGGGCGGGUAAUACUCGGCGACGUCGCGAGGGGGCCUCCCCUUGCGACCAAAUGAGUUUCGCCCCGGGAGGGGCCCACGUGCUAUUAGCUGGUUGGCGGGGUGACGGCCCACCAAGGCGAAGAUGGCUAGCGGGUGUGAGAGCACGACCCGCGCCACUGGCACUGAGACACUGGCCAGACUCCUACGGGAGGCUGCAGUCGAGGAUCUUCGGCAAUGGGCGCAAGCCUGACCGAGCGACGCCGCGUGCGCGAUGAAGGCCUUCGGGUUGUAAAGCGCUGUCGAGGGGGAGGAAGCCCGCAAGGGUUGACCUAUCCCUGGAGGAAGCACGGGCUAAGUUCGUGCCAGCAGCCGCGGUAAGACGAACCGUGCGAACGUUGUUCGGAAUCACUGGGCUUAAAGGGCGCGUAGGCGGCCGGGAAAGUCCGGGGUGAAAGCCCCCAGCUCAACUGGGGAAGGGCCUCGGAUACUGCUCGGCUAGGGGGAGGUAGGGGCGGGCGGAACUUCCGGUGGAGCGGUGAAAUGCGUUGAUAUCGGAAGGGAACGCCGGUGGCGAAAGCGGCCCGCUGGACCUCUGCCGACGCUGAGGCGCGAAAGCCAGGGGAAGCGAACGGGAUUAGAUACCCCGGUAGUCCUGGCCCUAAACGAUGGGGAACUGGGUAGUGGGCUGUCUGGGCUCACUGCCGAAGCAAAAGUGUUAA